UGUUUCUUUCCAUUGGUCUCAAUUUUUCUAGGUUUAUUUCUUUGGUGUCAACACAUUUGCAUUAUUUCCCUGCAUUCUUGGAGCUGUGGGUCGUAUAUAUUAGUUGGGGAAUUCAACACCUGACAUUUUGCAAUAUCUAAUGGUGAGGAUAGUUUCUUCAAUGUGAUAUCCCAUCCCUGAGUGAUUUAAUAUCAAAUUUAAUCACUCUUUGUAGAGACGAGUACAUUCUUCAGUGUGUCGAAAUUGAUCGGGAAUACAUUUCUGGAUUCCUGGACAUUCACAUUAACCAUGGACAGACGGAUCAACGGGUGCAUCUAUGUCGAGCUAUCAAGGUUUUGUGUCAACAAGUGCCAAAAAAUGCAGAGGGAGGCUGGAAGGGGAAGAUAGUAGCGAAGAGGAUAGAUAAUUUACUUUUCUAAAGUUUUGCAAUUGUGUCCAUCGGUGAGAAAGUGACUAGCGACGGUGGUGAAGGAAAGUCUAUUGAUCACGCCAUUGGAGCCAGGACGAGGGACAACUUACAAGGAGCUAGCGAUGCGGACUGAAUGAUGGUGCUUUCUCGGGCCAAGUAGAUGUGAAGGCCUUGCGAGAGGUGGAGCAGAGCCAAAAAUGAAGCCGACCAUCAAUUCCAUUGCCAGUUUUUUUUUUCUUUCGUCAAAUAUUG